UCCCUGGAGGACUAGUGGUUAGGCCACAGUGCUCUCACUGCUGUGGCCCAGGUUCAAUUCCCAGCCGGGGAA
rnacentral:tRNA from 1 species